rnacentral:pre_miRNA from 1 species
AAUGGCACUGGAAGAAUUCACGGGGUUUUUCUAACACGCCCGUGAUCUCUUAGUGGCAUCUA